rnacentral:rRNA from 1 species
CCUACGGGCGGCAGCAGUGGGGGAUACUGGACAAUGGGGGGAACCCUGAUCCAGCGACGCCGCGUGAGUGAAGAAGUAUCUCGGUAUGUAACGCUCUAUCAGCAGGGAAGAAGAAAUGAAGGUACCUGAGUAAGCAGCCCCGGCUAACUACGUUCCAGCAGCCGCGGUAAUACGUUGGGGGCAAGCGUUAUUCGGAAUUACUGGGGGUAAAGGGACCGUAGACGGUGAGGUAAGUCUGGAGUGAAAGGCGGGGGCCCAACCCGCGGACUGCCCGGGAAAAUAGUUGGCUGGAGUGUAGGAGAGGUGAGCAGAAUGCCUGGUGUAGCGGUGAAAUGCGUAGAUAUUAGGAGGAACACCAGUGGCGAAGGCGGCUCACUGGACUGUAACUGACGUUGAGGCUCGAAAGCGUGGGGAGCAAACAGGAUUAGAUACCCGUGUAGUC